rnacentral:misc_RNA from 1 species
AAGUGAACCGCCGCCCUAAAGAAUCGCCAGUCUCUCCCCUCUUCAGCCUCCAAUUGUUGAAUCAUUCAGUUACAAUGAGCGAGGGUCUAAAGAAAUCUCCUUCAAAUGGCUUUGAGAAUUCUUUGACACCUGAAGAGCAGCAGGAAAAGAUUAAUGAGGUGAGAAGGUUGGUAGGGCCAUUGCCGGAGAAGUUAUCCAUUUAUUGUUCUGAUGCAUCAAUCUCAAGACAUCUAAGGGCACGAAACUGGAGUGUGAAAAAGGCAACAAAAAUGCUGAAAGAAACCUUAAAAUGGAGAGCACAAUAUAAACCAGAAGAGAUUCGCUGGGAAGAGGUUGCUCGUGAAGCAGAGACAGGGAAAAUCUACAGAACAAAUUAUGUUGACAGGCAUGGGAGAACAGUUCUUGUUAUGAGACCCAGUUGCCAGAAUUCAAAAUCGACAAAAGGACAGAUUAGGUACUUGGUGUAUUGCAUGGAGAAUGCCAUUUUAAAUUUAUCACCAGAUCAGGAGCAGAUGGUGUGGCUGAUCGAUUUCCAUGGCUUCAAUCUGUCACAUAUUUCACUGAAGGUGACAAAGGAAACAGCACAUGUUUUACAAGACCAUUAUCCAGAACGGCUGGGUCUGGCAAUACUAUACAAUCCACCAAAGUUCUUUGAACCAUUUUGGAUGGCAGCAAAAGUGUUUCUAGAGCCAAAGACUUACAACAAAGUCAAGUUUGUUUACUCUAAUGAAGUUAACACCAUGAAAAUAAUGGAAGAUCUAUUUGAUAUGAACCAUCUCGAGUCUGCAUUUGGGGGCAAAGAUAAUUCUGGUUUUGAUAUCAGUAAAUAUGCUGAGAGGAUGAAGGAGGAUGACAAGAGGAUGCCUUCACUUUGGACAGGAGGGAGUCAUCCCUCAGUAGCGCCACAACCAGCCCUGACUUCUACUGCUUCCUUCGAUGCCAGCAAGGACUCACAUUCUGAUGCUUCAGAAAAUGAUGAAACAGACAGUUCUCAGCUUCAUGGGAUAAAUACUGAAAUUGCUUCCCCUGAGCACAAUACACCAGCAAUUGACAGUGGCAUAAAAGGGUUAGAAAAUGUACAUCUAGAAGAAGUCACAACCCAGGAAGACCAAGCACAUGGCUGACUCUGGUUAAGGUAUGUUGACAUAAUAGUGUUUAUGUUAGCCUAGCUGGGUAAUCAUUUCGGUGAGAGAAACAUCAACGUUUCUGUCAAGUAGAUUAGUAACAUUAUGGAAAUUCAACAAAUGAUUUUCCUUGUUGAGUUUAUGAAAUGGCGUUCAGAAUAAAUGAUUUAUUGCCUGCUUUUAGUUGAGAUAUAUUCAUGUAUCUUGACAAGAGAGUAUGUGCAUCU